UGGGGAAUUUUGGACAAUGGGCGAAAGCCUGAUCCAGCAAUGCCGCGUGUGUGAAGAAGGCCUUCGGGUUGUAAAGCACUUUUGUCCGGAAAGAAAUCCUUGGCUCUAAUACAGUCGGGGGAUGACGGUACCGGAAGAAUAAGCACCGGCUAACUNCGUGCCAGCAGCCGCGGUAAUACGUAGGGUGCAAGCGUUAAUCGGAAUUACUGGGCGUAAAGCGUGCGCAGGCGGUUUGCUAAGACCGAUGUGAAAUCCCCGGGCUCAACCUGGGAACUGCAUUGGUGACUGGCAGGCUAGAGUAUGGCAGAGGGGGGUAGAAUUCCACGUGUAGCAGUGAAAUGCGUAGAGAUGUGGAGGAAUACCGAUGGCGAAGGCAGCCCCCUGGGCCAAUACUGACGCUCAUGCACGAAAGCGUGGGGAGCAAACAGGAUUAGAUACCCUGGUAGUCCACGCCCUAAAACGAUGUCAACUAGUUGUUGGGGAUUCAUUUCCUUAGUAACGUAGCUAACGCGUGAAGUUGACCGCCUGGGGAGUACGGUCGCAAGAUUAAAACUCAAAUGAAUUGACGGGGUCAUAGCUGUUUCCU
rnacentral:rRNA from 1 species